UCCUAACUCCCGAUCCCUUCCUGCCUCUCUCCCUUCCAUCGCCGGCGCUGUUGACUGGAUCGGGGUGCUGCGGACUGCCGGAUUGGACCCCCCUUGGAUCCACUAGCUUGAUGCUCUCCACCACCGCUGCGCCCACCAUGGCGGCCAGCAAGGCGUGGCUUUGGGUUGUCCCCGUACGGCGGCCGCAUGUCAGCGGCGAUGUACAGCUCUACGCUCUCCGCCUUCGGCCAGCUCCUUGCUUCCAGACGAGGCGUCCUCUGCAUCGUAGUCAUCUUGAGUUGCUGGCUCCUCCUUCGGGAUCGAUUUGACCUCCAGCUUGCUCUGCCACGGAAGAUCUUCAGUCCCUGGCAUAUGUGUUUUUCAUGUUGUGCUCCUACUGCCGUACGGCGGCAGCAUGUCGGCGGCGACGUACAGCUCUAUGCUCUCCGCCUUCGGCCAGCUCCUUGCUUCCGGACGAGGCGUCCUCUGCAUCGUACUCAUCUUGGUUGCUGGCUCCUAGCUCAUUCGGGAUCGAUUUGACCUCCAUCUUGCUCUGCCAUGGAAGGAUCUUCAGUCCCCUGGUACAUGUGUUUUCCGUGUUGUGCUCCUACUGCCCGGCUGUGUGUGUCAUUGGUGGCAUGGCAUGCGCACUCUAUAUGUAGAUGAAGCGGGCGGUUGCAGGCUGCUGCUGGCUACAUGCAGAGGAGGAUUAGGAUUGCAUAAAUGAUUAGGAGAGCUCACUUGAUUUGUUUGGGUCUCAAUUAGUUAAACCGCGAAUUGAUAUUUGUUUCUUGGUGCAGGAGCUUCAAGGCAACAAAGGCAGUAGGCUUCACGGCAACACAUUCUAUGAUUUUCUUCCCAAAUCUGAAACAUUUGGCCCCUAAAUUGUAGUCCCCUUGAGAAAGUCAGAGUAUUGAUGGUCUGGUCUAUGGAUGUUGACAAAUUUGAUUGCAGCCGGGACCGCAAAGAAAGUGCAGUGCUCACCGUUGUAGAUAUCUGCAGGGCAACAUCAAAUUUCAGUGAGAAGAACAUGGCCAGGCAGGGAGCUUCAUGCAUCAUUGUAUGUGGGAAUUCUUUACUAUUGUGAAUUGUUUUUGUUUCUUGGAGACACUAACCGUAGCUUCUUAUUAGUGCCUAGCAUGGUAAAAGAGCAAUAUUGUUGUGCCUUUCUUGGAAUCAGGUUCUUCUAUUCCAUAUGGCCACUCUCUUCCGCGAGCGCUGUCUCUGGCAAAAGUUUAGUGAGCAGUGCCUGCCGGAGUCGCAGGACUCCUGCUACCCGGAGGAGCAAUAUUUACGGACACCAGCUCGACGUGGCCGACCCCGCCGGCUGCACCUGGUACACGCUCAUGCGCAUCAACUAUACUGACAGUGUCGACGGCGACCCACAGACUUAUGGCGUGCCAGAGGUGUCGCUGCUGCUCACCGCCGAGCUACGUCAGUCCAACAACUCCACCUAUGAGCACAUGUUCGCGCGCAAGUUCGCGCCUGACUGCCUUGGCCCGCUCAUGGUCAUCGCAGACAUUGUCAUCUUCAAAGAUUGAUCGAUGUCUUUCUCUGCACCAUAGCUGCAUGUAGGAGCCGAUAGAUGGUGAAAACAUAUUGCGAAUGUCACUUCACUCCCUGAAUUCGUUUGAGAUGCUGCAGCAUCUUAUGAGACAAGAUGACUGAAGAACACUGAAUACUUAAUUUGCGAAAAUCUCCUACCUGAUUUAGUUUCCGAAUGUAAGCAUGUUGCUUCAUGUAAUUAGUGAAUAAAUCAGCAACUUGACUAAUUAGCUUCUUCAAUCAGAUUUAAAUCAUGGUUCAUGUAUUUGAAUAAUUUUAUUUUCACAAGUGAUAUCUGACAAAAAGGUGUCUAAUGGCAUGGCCAAGGUCGAUUCUUUUGAUACUUGCAUGAUUAUGUUUUUAAUUCCAUGGAGCUUCGUAAUUACGGCCUAUAAUUCUACACUUACUACUACGAUGAGCUAUAAGUCACUGUUCUAUGAAACAGUUAUCAGUUUGCGUGUAUCUGUCAUAGAACAUUCUUACAUGUUGAUAUCAUCUCUAUACUAGAAAAUUACUCACGCACCUUCUGGCUUAUUUUCAUAGACGAUGUGAUGCCAUGCAUUAUGAUCUUAUGCAAAUGAGGGGGUGUUUGUUUACAGGGACUUAUUGGUGUAGAGACUUAAAAAAGAAACAUGUAGGGACUUUUUAGGGACUAGUGACUUUUUAGUUGGGACUAAAAAAAGUCUUAGGACUUAUGAACCAAACAGGGCCUAAAUAGAAAAAAGUGGUUGCCUUUGAUACUCAUAUUUGUACAGUUUUAGGAGCAUAGGAAAUCUAUGCAUGGAAGCUUAUUAGUGCCAUUCCUAAAAAUAUCUUUUCCGACAAUCCAAUGAUAACCUACAAAAUGGAAACAUGCAUAAACUUCCAUAUGUGGGUAUGAAUUAGAUGAUAAAGUUCAUACACAUUUAGGAGCACAAAAAAUCUAUUUAUGAGAUUUCUGGGUGGCACCCUAUGAUAUCUUUCUGAGUAUAUAUUUAAGUCGUAAUACAAUCAUAUGAUAAACGUACAAAUCCAAAGAUAAAACACACAAAAGAAACAUAGAUAAAACUUUAGAUAUGGCGUAACCAUGUGUUCUUGGUUCAUAGCAAAGGGGAUAAAUUUUAGGAGGAAGGAGAGAUGAGGUGAGUUUCUGAAGUUCGCCAUACAAUCCAAGCAUCACAAAAGGUGACAUUACAAAUCCAGGAGACGAAGAAUUAUCCUGUUAAUUUCCUUUUAAAGGAAGGGAGUAGCUUGUGGAGGACGGCCCUCACAUCUAGCUCGGUGAGAUUAGUUUUCUUUAAAAUACAUUUCCUUGCGCUAGAGCGGUUGAAUGACAGGUGCUUGUGGUAGAUGAACUAAGCGUCAUGGAUUUGAGCAUGUUCAAAGGCAUCGUGAUCUGGUGAAAACCGCAACCACCGUAGACGAGGACGGGUGGAGGAUAAGCGGUCACAUGGGUAAGGUAGCACAUUAAAAUAGAGAGCGUUUGGGUUAUUAGGCUAGAGACGUGCGCUAUAUUUUUUUUCUCCCCUUGCAACGCACAGGUAUAUUUGCUAGUAGUACUUAUUCCCGAUAGGAGACAACGACACCGAGUUAGUUUGUGGUUAAUGCAGCAGGACGUCUAUUGCAGGAACUUUUUUUCUUCACGUUUUCAGUUCAGCAAGUUGCUGGGCCGGCCCACUAGGCGGAGCGUGCGAGCACUGCUGGGGCUUAAAGCGCCGAAAAGGAGCAGCCCAGUUUGUGUUUUCCGCUGCCAUUUUCUCUUUUUUUGAGAAUUUUGUAAUGUUUUCUAUAUCUUUUUGUUAUUUUUUAUGAUUUUCAUUUUCCUGUCUUUUUUAUUUUCUAGUUCAUGAUAGUUUUAGUACAUGAACUUUUGAAAGGGCACGAACACUUCUUGAAAUUUAAGAAUAUUUUAAAAAAAUUGUGAACACUUUUUUAGUGCAGAUUUUUUUUUUCAAAUUCAUGAACAUUCCUUAGAAUCAUGAAUUGUUUUAAAAUCUGUUAUAGUUUUUCUAAUUUAUGAACAUUUUCUAACAUUGGAUUAACUAUUUGCUAAUUCUCACCACAUGAAUUAAUUGUUGUAAGAUUGAUGCAAAUUAUCCUCUCUCGCGCGUGUUGUGGCUUUUGUCCUCCGUUCAUCCAGUUUGGUUGUUUUGUGUUUGAUUUCCAAACGGGUUGUUUGCCUUGUACGGGCCGUGUUGCCUUGUUUUUUCUAGCGGUCGUGUUUUCCUUUUGUGUUUUGUUGUGCUGUUAUUUUUUUCUCUUUUCUUUGCAACUCAGUGGCA